AGCAACAAGUGGCAAGUAGAAAAGCGAAGCAAAAAAAAAGUGAAACCGAGAAGAAAAAACGCAAAAUGUGGAUACCUGCUUUUGGACCUUGAACAAGGUGAUGUUGAUUGCUAAGUUGCUGUUGCUAGUGCCAGUGCUAGUGCUGCCUGCUGAUCGCUGCUAUUGCUAUUGUUGUCGACACCUCGUUGUUGUUUUGAAGUUCAAAGUUAACGAAACGAGUCGGCAGAUAGACACAGUCGAGGAGGAGGAAGCACGAGCGGUGCGAAGAAAACAAGAAAAGGGGCCCUCCGACCAUCGACAAUAUAAACAUAGGAGAUGAACAAAGUUGCAGACAACACGGCGUAUGCUUAAUCAAUCAACUGAUGUGGAUGGCCGCUCACCAACGGUGAGUGCAAUUCUUAUCUAGACUAUAAAAGCGCAGAGAAAUCUCUAGGCGAUUAUCCAUGUAUACCUGUUAUGCCAAAGCCAUUCCCAGAUUGAUUUAAAUGUAAAUUUUUGACAUCCCCCUCGCUGCCGUUCAUUGAGAAUUUAUUGAAGUUGUGAGCAGUUGUUGUUCAUUUUUUGUCGGCUUAACUUUUAUUGCGCAAUGUUUCCACGCAUCCAGAUACUAAUGUAUGAGGGUUCCCAUACAGACACACAGAUACUCUUGAACCCGCGCACGAGGCGACAAAUUGCCUUUUAAUGUUGGCAACGCAAUCAGUCGACCUUGAGGUUGCAUCUUACCCCAGUUGCCUGGCCCACUCCAGCAUUCAGUUCCCUGCUAGCAAUUUGUUUGUCAAAUUUUUCUGUGUUUUAAAUAAAUUACGAAUAAUUUGCGUUUUUGUACGCCAGCAAUCCGUGAUACAACUCGAAAAAGGCCAGGGAAAAAUGCUUGAGUUUUUCCAUAUUUGAACAACCUUCAACCUCUGCAUGCUCUUUUAAUUGUUAUAUAAUUAACAUGCGAACUGUUAUUAUAGUUUAUUAUUAAUAACAAUUGUUCGUCUAUUCUUGGAGCAUCCGACGGUUUUUGAUUUCGUUUCAGUGUUUUUUUUUGGCAAUAUAUUUCGUUGUGUGCUGCGUUUGCCGUCUGAUUUAAUGGAUCAAAAAGCGUAACACCGACAGACAGACAAAGCGAACCCCCUUUUUGGCCCAGUCCCCCCUUUUCCAGUUCUGCCCAUCGCAGCGGAAAGUCAUUAACAGCGAUCUCCGAUUCGGUUUCGGAUUUGGAUUCGGAUUCGGAUUCGGUCUUCUAAUGAGUUUGCCAGCCAUUUGUCUUGCGAAUGUGGGGGAUAACUAAGCUUAGCAGCUGAAAAAUGUUUUCAUCUUUCGGGAUACAUACAUACUAUGUACGCGUGUAUGUGCAAGUAGAGCUGUGUAUAUAAAAGUUAAAAAUGGAGUUAUGAAGGGAAUGUUUGGCUACUGACAUUCGUAUUUCCCUUGAAAAACGUCGUUGGUUUAGUUAAAGGCUCUUCUGAGUCAUAUAAAGGAGUUGAAAUGAUCUGAGGAGCUAUUUCAACAUACAAUGUGUAGACUUCCCAAAAAUCUGCUGAUUUAUGUAAAUUCCUACUUGAAUUUUUAGGGGAUCUCCCUUUUGGGGCAUUAAGGGCAAACAUUUCCGAACAUGGCCACGCCCACAGCUUUACAAGCUCUCUAGUCGCAGUUGGAUUUUGUUUGUAUUUGGGUAUUUGGGUUUUAAUGGCCCACGCUUCGAAGUCUUUGCUUUUUCUGCGUUUCUUCUUCGCUUCUCAGAGGGCUGGAAAACACGAUUAUGUAGCUAUUUCUCUUCCUUUUCGCUGGCGAGCGUGAGAAGCAACUAACUGAUUGUUGGAUUGGACGCUUGGAGCCCGUCCAUCUCCUCCGCCACGUCCCUGGGCACAGUUUCCAAGCGCCGUCGCAUUUCAAGUUCAAUUCAAAUUUGAGUUUGUCGUUCCCAAAAUACGUGCGACGAAAGCAAAAGUGUAGGCUUCUCCUCUGCCACUGCCACUGCCACUUCCACUUCCACCGCCACUGUCCGUGUUUUGGGCCAUUAUGGUGCAGCAGAGCAUGACGCUUAGUGCAGUUGAAAUGACCAGAGGACAGAAUGAGAUGAUAAAAGCGACCCACGGCCCACAAAGACUGAAUAUGUAUCUACUCACAUAUGGGCCGUUCUAUAUUAUGAGUGUUUUUAAAGCGAAAUGAUAUUGUAUGUAUAAAGUGAACCCUUUGGGUUUCUGACGUUCACCGUAGCGAGCGGGUCCUGUGGAUGGCGAGGGUGAUACAAAGCGGUGGUGGAGUGCGUGUGCCUCGAGGGGUGCCGAAAAGGGGGUGGCAUGUCAACGAAUCGUAAUUUAUUGAUCAGCGUAUAAAAAAAAAGUAUAGAAUAGCGAGCGAACAAGUGAGCGGACAAAGUGAAAUAAAAUAAAAAUAAAAGCGAGCGCAUAAAUAAAUAAAUAAAAGCUACAGCACAUAAGAAAAUAAAGAAAGAACUUGGCGUUCGUUUUCGGUCCCCUCAUUAUUUGUUGGCAAAAAUAAAUUAGAAUUAGAUACACACACUCGGAUACGAAGAUACAGC
rnacentral:sRNA from 1 species